UGCCUCUUGCUCUGUCCGCAUCCCCGGCUUAGGGUGAAAGAAAUCACUACUUCAAUACUGCUGCUAAGCCUAUGUGAUCAUUCUAAGCUGACGGCCCAGAGGGUGGGUGCCAAUUCCACCAGCAGCUGCAACUGAAAAGCAAGGUUCAGAAAUGUCAGAUAUCCUCCGGGAGCUGCUCUGUGUCUCUGAGAAGGCUGCUAACAUUGCCCGGGCGUGCAGACAGCAGGAAGCCCUCUUCCAGCUGCUGAUCGAAGAAAAGAAAGAGGGAGAAAAGAACAAGAAGUUUGCAGUUGACUUCAAGACGCUGGCUGAUGUACUGGUACAGGAAGUUAUAAAACAGAAUAUGGAGAACAAGUUUCCAGGCUUGGAAAAAAAUAUUUUUGGAGAAGAAUCCAAUGAGUUUACUAAUGACUGGGCCUCUUCCCUCACUUCUGUCAAGGGCUGAAACCAGAUUAA
rnacentral:sRNA from 1 species